CUAUGUUGUAAGGUAGGUUUUAUGUUGUAAGGUAGGUCCAUGUUGUAAGGUAGGUCUAGGUUGUCUAUGUUGUAAGGUAGGUCCAUGUUGUAAGGUAGGUCCAGGUUGUCUAUGUUUUAAUGUAGCCCCAUGUUGUAAGGUAGGUCCGUGUUGUAAGGUAGGUCUGUGUUGU